rnacentral:piRNA from 1 species
UAACCCUGCUAGGAACAGAGAUGGACUAUG